CCUACGGGCGGCAGCAGUGGGGGAUAUUGCACAAUGGGGGAAACCCUGAUGCAGCGACGCCGCGUGGGUGAAGAAGCGCCUCGGCGCGUAAAGCCCUGUCAGCAGGGAAGAAAAUGACGGUACCUGAAGAAGAAGCCCCGGCUAACUACGUGCCAGCAGCCGCGGUAAUACGUAGGGGGCAAGCGUUAUCCGGAUUUACUGGGUGUAAAGGGGGCGCAGACGGCGAUGCAAGCCAGGAGUGAAAGCCCGGGGCCCAACCCCGGGACUGCUCUUGGAACUGCGUGGCUAGAGUGCAGGAGGGGCAGGCGGAAUGUGUAGUGUAGCGGUGAAAUGCAUAGAUAUUACACAGAACACCGAUUGCGAAGGCAGCUUGCUAGGCCGGAUCUGACACUGAUGCACGAAAGCGUGGGGAUCGAACAGGAUUAGAUACCCGUGUAGUC
rnacentral:rRNA from 1 species